GCGUCGUGGUCGAGUGGUAAGGUAAGGACACGUGCCUCUCACCCUGGAAUCCCGGGUUCGAUCCCCGGUCGAGGAGCU